rnacentral:tRNA from 2 species
GGUCAGGUGUCGGAGCGGCUACGAAGCGGUCUGCAAAACCGCGCACAGGGGUUCAACUCCCCUCCUGACCU